rnacentral:misc_RNA from 1 species
AAGUCGUAACAAGGUUUCCGUAGGUGAACCUGCGGAAGGAUCAUUACAACACCCUUUUUUUCUUUUGUUGUUGUUAUUUUUUUUUUAAAAAUAAUAAUAAUAAUUGUAAACCCACUUUGUUGAACCUUUAUCUUAUUUUGUUAUGAAUUAUUUUUGUUAUGAAUGGGAUUUUCUUUUUUUUUCUACAAAAAAAGAGAAGAUUUCCAUUUUCAUAUCCAAUCUUAUCUUUAUCUUAUAUUAUCUCUUUUUUUCUUCUUUUUUUUGGAUCUUCAACUUUUGUUUUGAAGUAAACAAAAAAUAAUAAAGAAAACUUAUAGAUAAUUCUGUUAAAAAACAAAACAAAAAACUAUUAUAAAUCCAAUUUAUUUUGGAAUUAUAAUAAAUAAUAAUAUAAUAUGAGAGUACAACUCUUAACAAUGGAUAUCUAGGCUCUCGU